AGGCGCGGCCUGCGGGCAGCCGGAGAAGCGGCGCGUCCGUGUCCCUUCGGAUGCUGUGUCCUCCUGCCCGCCGUCAUCCCCAGUCGGCCGCUGCGAGCGCGGAGAGCAGCGCGAGCGCUGUGAAGAUGCGAGGAGAGAUGCAAAGGGUAGCGGGGCUUCCUCAGUGGAUCCCGAGUUACAGUGGUUUCCCCAGAUCCUUGCCAAGAGAUCUGACUACGCUUUCAGGGAGUGAUUGGAGGUCCUCAGAGUGGUGGUGAACCCCGUGUGGAAAUCUCAGAGCUGCCCAGUCAAGCUGCCCAGGGCCCCGUGCCUGGAGGACCGUGUGCACCUGGGCUGCCAAGUGAAGCGUAUCCUGAACAUUACCUCAUGAAGAGAGACUUUCUGUGCCAGUCAGUUGGAGGUUAUAGUUGGAAGUUAUCUUGGAGAUCAUCUAAGACCACUUCCUCCGGGUACCAGUGAGAGACUGAGAUUAGAGACCAAAGUGAUGCCUGUGGAUAAAAAGCCCACCAGUGGCCGGCUCUCCUGCAUCCUCAAAACUUUACUCCCUCGGUUGGUCCUCAGUCGAAAACACCUCUUAAAAUCUAUCCAGUUUAACAAAUAUCUUUCGAGGGCUGACUGCCAAGUGCUGUGUGAAGCUCCCUGGAGGCACAUAAAUGUGAAUAAGCCCUGAUUAAUGUUCAGAGAAGCUCACAGUUCAGAGAGGAGCCAAUUGUGCCUGGAGAUGCUUGGACUACACACUGGAAAAUGCAAAUAUGGAGGGAAAAAGGCAAGAGAGUAACUACUGCAGGUGCUCUGAGCUGUGUAUUUCCAAGACAGCUUCACUCCAUAGGAUUUGUGUGUCCUUGUAAGUAGUAUUUUCUCACAUUUCCAUUUGCUAAAGUGUCAUUUCCUCCCCCCUCCCCCAUCUAUGAUUUUAAUGGUAUAGGCAAGGAAAUAACUGACAAUAAAACAUCUCCCCUAGGCCAAACACCUGCUCCUUACUUCCCGUGUAGGAGAAUCACAGCCUCUCAACUUUGUGCAGUAAUUUUUCUUUCCCAGAUCAAGAUCCCUACCCCAGGCCUUACUGUAUUUCCAGCUUCCUUAGGAUCGUCUCCCUUUGGAGCCUGGCGGUGGAUGCAGGGAACACAACCUCUCCAGAGCUACUUGAGGCCCAUUAGGAAUGCCUUACAGACUUUGGGCCAGCCCUUUCCUCCAGUGUCUCUCAGCUUUUCACGUUCUAGUUCUCAGAAGAUGUGCUUCAAAACCACAGGUCUGUUUCAUCCUAGUCAGUGUUGCAGAUGUUUCUCAAGCCUUGCAACAUAAAGGUGCGUUCCCCCCUCAGAUGUGUGCUUUGAUGAGGUGUUUGACUCACCUGCCCCUUCUCACAGCCUGACCCUGCAGUGUGGAAAAACGCCCAUCACGUGGCUCAUAGAAGUUAGGGCACACGGCCAGACUCCACGCUGCGACAAAAUUCUUCUGCCAAACUGUGAGGCAGAGGAGUGGCUGAAUUUGUACUUUGUGCUAACCUUCUGUAUGGUUAAGCACACCCUCAAAAAAUGAAAACUAAGACAGAAACAAAAACACAGCAACGAGCCAAGCCCCCAAGCUCAUAUCCUAGCCUAGGCAUGAUCUGUGAUCCUGGGGAAGUUAUUUAGACCUUUGUACACCUAUAGCCUCCUUGCAAAAGAGGAAAUAUUGCAACACACACAUCACUAAGUUUUUAUGAAGGUGAAGAAUUUAAAUAUGUGUGAAGUGCCUGGUACAUAGCAAAUAAAUAUUAUUAUUACAAUAACUGUCAUUAUUAUUAGUCGUGGGUUUAGUUUUAACUCUUUUGUGUUCAUUUAAAUUUUGGCUCAAAGAGUGUAUCUCUGACUUUGUCCUGAUGGGAAGCAUUGGAAGAGAACCACGAAAGCUAUGGAGAAGAAAGAUAUCGAAGACGUUCAUUCUAGUCGCUAAAGAUGAAGAAAAGCCUGAUGCAGAGAGGUAGAAAUUCCAAAGGGGUUUAGAGAGAUGCAUCUCAUUACCUCUGGUGUCUGUAUGAACUAUAAAGAUGAAUCUGAAACAAUCAAUGUGAGGCACCUGGAUGGCAACUAGCUCUUGAUAAUGGCUCAGGUUGUGAUCUUUUGGUUUGUGAGAUCAAGCUCCACAUGGGGCUUUGCACUGAGCAUGGAGUCUGCUUGGGAUUCUCUCUCUCUGUCUCUCUCCCUCUCUCUCUUUCUGUCUCCACCUGCUCAUGUACACAUGCAUGUGCUCUCUCUCAAAAUAAAUAAAUAAAAACUUUAAAAUAAUAAAAUAAAACAACC
ensembl:lncRNA